rnacentral:rRNA from 1 species
UACGUAGGUGGCAAGCGUUGUCCGGAUUUAUUGGGCGUAAAGCGAGCGCAGGCGGAAUGAUAAGUCUGAUGUGAAAGCCCACGGCUCAACCGUGGAACUGCAUCGGAAACUGUCAUUCUUGAGUGCAGAAGAGGAGAGUGGAACUCCAUGUGUAGCGGUGGAAUGCGUAGAUAUAUGGAAGAACACCAGUGGCGAAGGCGGCUCUCUGGUCUGCAACUGACGCUGAGGCUCGAAAGCAUGGGUAGCGAAC